AACGAACGUUGGCGGCGUGGAUGAGGCAUGCAAGUCGAACGCGAAAGCCGCAAGGCGAGUAAAGUGGCGGACGGGCGAGUAACACGUAAUCAAGCUACCUGCGAGACGGGGAUAACUUCGGGAAACCGAAGCUAAGACCCGAUGGUCUUCUAGGAACGCAUGUUCCAUGAAGUAAAUGGGCGGGAUCCUCCGGGAUCGCCUGCUCGCAGAGGUGAUUGCGGCCCAUCAGCUAGUUGGUAGGGUAAUGGCCUACCAAGGCAACGACGGGUAGCCGGCCUUAGAGGGUGGUCGGCCGCACUGGGACUGAGACACUGCCCAGACUCCUACGGGAGGCUGCAGUCGAGAAUAUUCCCCAAUGGCCGAAAGGCUGAGGGAGCGACGCCGCGUGCAGGAAUAAGGCC
rnacentral:rRNA from 1 species